ACCACCCCAAAAAAAAAAGGAAAAAAAAACCCAAAAAUGAUGAGCGUGGAACACAAACCAAGUGUAGGAAUCGCAAAGGAGCUCCAGCCACCCAGACUUCCUCUUCAGCUGCCAGUCCAAAUAGGUUGAAACUGCAGCAGAACUACCCAGAGACACCCUAGGCAAUUCUCCUGGACCUGCACAGAAGCCUGAAACGCUUACUUGGGAAAGAGUUUGGUGUUCGAAGUCACAGUCGACAUGGCAGUGCCUGUGGUGACACGAUCAUCCGAAUUAGCUGAUUAUCUUGAAAGUGUCCCGAGCAAAUGAUGAUGAGUUAAAUAUCCAUCUUGAGCUUAUCCCAUUAGAUAAACAACCGGCACCAAGUCUGAAAAAAUGCCAUAUCUGCUGCAGCCAAAGCACGCCAGUUGAACACCUCUGUGAAGUCAGAACUCCUUUCAUGUCAUACAGAAAAAAAACUUCCAUUCCACUAUCCUUGUCAAAAGUAGAAAUGAGACAUAUUUAUAUGGAGGCCUUAGUGACCUAAAACAUGGAACUCUCUGCAUUAGAUGCAAGACAAAUUCAAAACUUUCUGUGCUGCACAAUCUUAUUCCUGAUGCAAGGAUGGACACUUCUAUCUUCUGAUUCAGCUUUAAUGUCUCUAUCUGAUGAUACAUGUUUGUUUUUAAUGGUUAUACCUCUAAAUAUCUUCAGAAUAGGAUUUGCUUCCAUAGUAUCUGCAGGCUGUUCAUUUUUCCAUUUUCCCUCAAUGACCAUUUUUGUAAUGAUAUUCUUGAGUGCAGCUUAUUGUUCAGUGGACAAAAUCAUAAGCCAAAGAUGUUUAAUUAGUGGCAGCAAAGGACAACAGUGUUGUUGGCAAUGCACUGUUAACCAUUCAACCUUAAUGGAUGCAUCAAAUAUGCUAGCCCAGGUUAUCAGUGGGUCCAAGGUUACUCUGCAAAGCUUGCAAAGGCGAGAAAUUUUUUAUGGAAUCAAUUCUAGUUGCCCAUUACAUAAAAAUCUGACGAGUUGGAAAUAAAAUGAGGAAUCAAGUUCUAUUCUAUUACAACAACAACAUACCCAGUAUAUUACCACAUGCGGGGUCUGGGUUAGGUAGUGUGUACGCCGUCUUACUCUUAUCUUGUGCAGGUAGAGGGACUGUUUCCAAGAGACCCCUGGCUCAGGCCAAGUUCUAUUAUAUUAUCUUAUAAAAUUUAUGUUUGUUGAUGUUUCCAUUUAAGUCCCAUUUUUUGGUUGUUGUUUCAGAUACUCGUUUACGUGCAAAAGAAUUCUGAGGUAUGAUGAUUAUAUAGUUACGUGAGUUUCUUGAUUCGGGUUUGUAGAGGGAUGAGGGCCGGGGAGAAAAGAAGAUAGGGGUGUAUGUUCACCGGAGAACAUGUGGAGCCAAUCAUUAGGAAUUGUUUUAGUUUUCUCUGAAUAGCAGUAGUCCGCUACUUUCCAGUUCUGCA